rnacentral:lncRNA from 1 species
UGCAGAGGUGCCUUUUGUCUGGCAAGGGGAGCACAGGUGGGGGAUGGGGCUGGCCCCAGCCAGGACAUUGUCUGUGUCACUCAGCAGCAGACUGACUGGCGCCUGCUGCCUGGCCAGCAAUGCUGACCCCUCUGCCUGCCCUAGCCAAUAUUUGAGGUCAGGAGGCAAGUACAGCAUCUGUGGGCAGACGACAGGGCCAAUGGGGUUCUCCUCCAGGCCUUCUGCUGCCACUCUGCUUCCUGAAGCCAGGAGGCCCAGUUCAGGUGCUCCGCCAGGGCUCCCGUGGUCCUGCCUGCAGGGGCGAGGUAGCAGGACCCCCUUGUUUAGCCUCUGCUGCAUCCUUAGCUGCAGCAGGGAGCCUGCCAGGCAGGUGUGCGACAGGCAGGACAGCGAUGUCUUCCUGCAUGACAGAAGGGGAAACUGAGGCCCAGAGUGAUGCAGCCCGGGACCUCCCAGGACAAGGUCCAAGCUCUUACCUCAGAUACAAACUCAUCUGGAAGCAUUAAAACAAUGGAAGCAGGUGAGAGCAGAGAGAUCCCGAGCGCAGGUGAGGUGGGGUCCCUGAGGCGGGCUCAAAAGCUGCUUCCCAAGGCAGGGGGGCCCCUAUGUGCCCUCUGAGAGCACAGCCUGCAGACAGAGUCCAGACGUCUCAGGCAGGCCUUUGAGGCCUUCGUGUCAAAGCCCAGUUCUACCACAUCCUAGGGUUAUACUUUCGGCCUGGUGGGAGUCGCUGGUCCCCAGUUGACAGUGUCAUUGGGAAAGUCCAGUGGUAGACCCCGGCACAGCAGGCGCUCAGCAGUGCAGCAGUAUCAUUGCUUAGCCCCACCUCCCUUUCCAGACUCUGCACCCCUCCUCAGGCUCAGAGCAAGGGCCUGCCCCUGCCCCUCCACCGCCCCCUCCUCACUUACCCCUGCGACUCUGCCCAAGCAAGACCUCCCCCUGGAAUUCAUUCAUUUAUCAACUCAUUAUGCAGCCAGCCAGCCAUCGUUUCUUUUUUAUCCACUUUUUCUGAGGGCCUGCUGUGCGCCAGCUGCUGGAGACAUGAAGACAUCGAAGACCCCAGGCCUUGACCUCCAAGAGCCCCCAGUUUGGUGGAAGAAACAAACAAGGAGACUGCAAAACACACCCUGUGAUGGGGAGGGUUGAGGUGGCCAGUGGGAGAGGCGAGCUGGCAGGGCUCAGUGGUGAGGUGAAGGUGUGGGAGCAGGGACACAGCAUGAAGGAGUAGAUGGCCAGGUUGAGCUUUGCAGGCUCCAGGGGGAGGAUAAAGAGCUGACACCUGGAACGUGCUUGGAACAGCAGGUGCUCGGUCAGUGCAGCCACGACCAUCCCGUCCUGCAUCCCCACCAUGAACUUGGACCUUCUGGAAGGACCUUGCUUAUCCCAGCAUCCACACAUCCUUGACCAGACCUGGUCAACAUUUGCUUAGAACCGCCUGGCUGCUGGGAUGAGAAGAGACUGGAGAGAGACCACGAUGGAAGCCAGGAGGCCAACGAGGAGUUGGGGUAGUCCUCCAGGGAGACAUGAUGUGGCUUCAGCCCCAGUGGUGAUGGCGGGGUAGAGCCAGCAGGGUUCUGAACUGAGUGGAUGUGAAAUGAGGGAAAGAGGGAUGCUGCGGUCGGCAGAAUCGUGCCUCCCGCAAAGAUGCCCCAUCCUAACCCGUCACCCUUGACAGUGAGACCUCCACCACAAAGGGGACUUUGCAGGCAUGAAGGUUAAGGACCCUGAGAGGAGGAGAUGGCCCUGGACUGUCUGGCGGGCCCAGCAUCAUCACAAGGGUGCUUAUAAGUGGAGGAGGAGGCAGGGGGAGCCGAGCAGAUGUGAGGAUAGAAGCAGAGGUCGGAGGGACGUGCUGUUGGCUUGAGAUGGAGGAGGACCUAUGAGCCAAGGAGCAUGGGCGGCCUCUGGAAGCCAGAAAGGGCAAGGCCUCUUCCCGGAGCCUCCAGCAGAACCCAGCCCCGCUGCCACCUCGACUGCAGAACGGUGACACCGUGUCCGAUUCCCGACCUCCAGAACCGUGAGAUAACACGUGUGCUGUUUUAAGCCACUGCAAUUGUGGUAUUUGUCACAGCAGCCAUAGGAAACUGUACGGGGGUUAAAGAGGACCUGCUGACCUCUGAGCUCACACUGAAGCCUCCUGGAAUGCUGUGGGUUGUGAGCUGGGAUGAGAACGCAGCAUGGAGAUGAAAGACGCAUCCACCCAGGAAGGCCCACUGGCAUCGCAAUCUCAGGGAAGAUUCCCAGGCUGAAAAAAGAGAAAGUGGCUGGGGUGGCACUGAAUGCCCCACGUCAAAGAAAUGGCACCCAAGCCGUCCGUCAGUCCCUCACCUGCCACACAGACAGCACCUUGGACCCAGCAAGAUGUCACUCACCACAUUGAUGCUGUCCACAGGCAUCGCCUUGCUUUUGCAGCUCUGUGUGAGAUUUGUCAGCUUGGUUUGGGUCUGGGGCUGUAUUAGAGCUGUCAGCCUAGGAGCCUACCCUAGUUUUGUGUCUGCACUAUUUCCAAAGCACUGGAAUAAAAGGCAUUUUAACCAACACCAGGAACCCACGGGAAUCUUUUCAAAGGAUCUGCAUCAGAUCAGCCUAAGGAACACUGCUGUCGGUGAUGAAAUCUGUUGAGGAUUCGAAGCUGGCGUGUGGUGCACGCAAAUUCCUUUUUUCUUUUUUAAUCAAUGAUUAGAUGAUUCCUUAGAGCAGUUUUAGGUUCACUGCAAAACUGAACAGAAAGUGCAGAAUUCCCAUAUCCCACCUUCCCAAACACACACACAGUUUCCUCUGUGACUAACAUCUUGCAUCUUGUGGUACAUUUGUUACAAUUGAGGAACCAAUAUUGACCCAUUAUUAUAAAGUCAGUAGGUGACAUAAGC